CAGUAGCCACGGUAACACGGAGGGAGCUAGCGUUGUUCGGAAUUACUGGGCGUAAAGCGCACGUAGGCGGCUAUUCAAGUCAGAGGUGAAAGCCCGGGGCUCAACCCCGGAACUGCCUUUGAAACUAGAUGACUGGAAUCUUGGAGAGGUCAGUGGAAUUCCGAGUGUAGAGGUGAAAUUCGUAGAUAUUCGGAAGAACACCAGUGGCGAAGGCGACUGACUGGACAAGUAUUGACGCUGAGGUGCGAAAGCGUGGGGAGCAAACAGGAUUAGAUACCCGCGUAGUCCCUGUCUCUUAUAC
rnacentral:rRNA from 1 species